UACGUAGGGACCAAGCGUUGUUCGGAUUUACUGGGCGUAAAGGGCGCGUAGGCGGCGCGGUCAGUCACUUGUGAAAUCUCUGAGCUUAACUCAGAACGGCCAAGUGAUACUGCAGUGCUAGAGUGCAGAAAGGGCAAUCGGAAUUCUUGGUGUAGCGGUGAAAUGCGUAGAUAUCAAGAGGAACACCUGAGGCGAAGGCGGGUUGCUAGGCUGACACUGACGCUGAUGCGCGAAAGCUAGGGGAGCAAACGGG
rnacentral:rRNA from 1 species